rnacentral:lncRNA from 1 species
UAGUAUUCUGUGACAUAUUUUGUGGGAAUGAAGUGGUCAGUGAAGGAGAGAGGAGUUAUCUGGUGACUGGGAAGAUGGAAAUUAAACAUUGAGAACUCAGGUAUUCUGACAAGUUUUUUGAGUGAGCAUCAUCUGGACAACUAGGUCUUCAUCAUGGGAAGAUCUAGAUUAUCAGAGAGCCUUGAUCAUUGAAGAAACAACAAAUGAUAAGUGUGGCUGUUAUGCAAAGAGAGAAGCAGGAAGGACCAGAGGAUGCAGCAAGAAGGAUUCAUUUUGGAAGCAGAUAGCAGUCCUCACCAGAAAAUCCAAUCUGAUGGCAUCUUGAUCUUGACUUCCUACCCUCCAGAACUCUGAAAAA